rnacentral:rRNA from 1 species
CGGGUGAGUAACACGUUGGUAAUCUACCCUGAAGAUCGGGACAACAUUUCGAAAGAAGUGCUAAUCCCGAAUGUGACCAGGAGCUCUGCGGAGCAUCUGGAGAAAGGAGGGGGACCUUAGGGCCUCUCGCUUUGGGAUGAGCCUGCGCACCAUUAGCUUGUUGGUAGGGUAACGGCCUACCAAGGCUGCGAUGGUUAGCUGGUCUGAGAGGAUGAUCAGCCACACUGGAACUGAGACACGGUCCAGACUCC